rnacentral:tRNA from 1 species
GAGGGUAUAGCUUAGUGGUAGAGCACAUGCUUAGCAUGCACGAGGUCCUAGGUUCAAUUCCCAGUACUUCCA